rnacentral:sRNA from 1 species
GCCGAGCGUGGUGGCGGGCGCCUGUAAUCCCAGCUACUCUGGAGGCUGAGGCAGGAGAAUCGCUUGAAUCCAGGAGGUGGAGGUUGCAGUGAGCUGAGAUCGCACCACUGCACUCCAGCCUGGGUGACAGAGUGAGACUCUGUCUCAA